AGAAGGUGCCACUGCUGUAAGAGUUACUGUUAGAAACAGCAGCAUUUGUUUCAGGCUUGCUCAGAAGCCUGAAAAGAAUCAGUCUGCCUUCAUAACUAGGUGUACUAUUUAGCUGAGAUCCAAAAGAACUUAUUCAAGGUACCGGCAGUGGUGGGUGGCCCCCAGUUCAGACUAGUUCGCAAGAACCAGUAAAACCGGUGAAAGGCUCCACCCACUGAACUGAACGUCAUCAGGAAGCUUCUGCGCAUGCAUGGACCCGUUGCGAACUGGUAGUAAACUCUCUCUUCAGAAACCAAUUUAAGAUGUCAUCUGAACCAACAAAUACUCCAUUUACACUGAAAUUGCUUUCCCUAUUGACAUUAUUAUAACUGUUAGCUGUGUGAAAGGAGGUGAUCUGAAGUCAACUGAAAAUACUCCAAUAAAAUUGUGCCUAAUGACUUGAAAAAACUAAUGCAUGUAAUUAUUGAGGCCUAAGUGUCUUAAGCAAAAAUGGAUUAAAUCUGAUAUGGCUGAACAUUAUUUUAUUUUGCCUUCCUAUUAAAGCUGACUUGCAUCCUCUCCGCAUUGGGGAAACAGAAAUAUGGAGACUGAGGCUGUUGCCUACCAUUGCAUCUUUUAUACUGGUCACCAUUAUCAUGUGGCUUUUUGUAACGUAUCUCCAUGAAGUUGCUUUUAAUAUACCUUGCGAGACUGCUACAAUAAAACUCUGUUUGAAUUUCUGCCUGUGAGAAUUGGCUUAAGCCUUGAAUUAUUACUUUGUGAAAUUAAGGAAUCUUGGCAUAAUCUCCAUGCAAAUUUAGUUUUAAUGUAAAAUGUCAGAGUAUCAUGUGGCUUACAAUGAGAUCAUUCAAUUAACAAAAGAGCUUCUCAGACAUGGACUUUUGAUGUAGAUGUAGCAUAGUCAAUAUGUCCAUAUAGCAGAAUCAAAAGGCUAAAAGUUUUCAAACACAUUUCACAUCAGUAUACUGCUGGGAAAACAGGAACAUAUGAAAAUUUAAUAUUUUACUAUUUAUUCAAUCCUUUAGAUUAAAAUAUGACAAUUUAAAUUAUCAUUCUUUAUUCAGUCUAUAGUUUCUGUUUUAUGGGCCUUGAGACAGAAAAUACCGCAUUUGUGAUUAUUGUGGUUUGAGAUAGAACCUUUUCAUUAACCUAUUAUUAGCCAGCUCCUGAAUCUUCUUAUCUUUUGUAAUUCAAUAAUAGUCCACUUUAAUUUAUUUUGGCUAUCAGAGCACUGAAAACAUAUGCUGUGCUUCAGUUAUUUGCACCUUAAAUACUAUUUCAAAAAAACUGACACCUAUUUAACAACCUUCCUUUGAUAUUUCAAAUGAACAUUCAUUGCACUUUUGAUGCACCAUAAGUUUAUUAUUGUCCACUUUAAAUUGUGGAAUUUAUUCAGCUAUUGCUCAGUAAAAUAAUAUGUCAGUUACAUUUGCCACUUGCAAUGGGGUAAAUCAGUCCUAUUCAAACUGUUCACCAAUGACAUGUUGAUAUGUACU